GCUUGAGUAGUUUAAUAAAAACUUUAAUUUGUGGAAUUAAGGAUGUGGUAAUAUUCACUUCAGGCC
rnacentral:tRNA from 1 species